UCAGAUUGGAUUCGGCGUGGACUCCCGGUCUUUGGCUGACCAGAACAAGUGUCAGCGAGAAGACCCCGAAGAGGAACAUUUGUUCCUUGCCCUCUUCCUCUUGAAGUAGGAGUGGUUUUCCAGAUACCACACAUUGUCAAUUCUCCAAUCUGUGAAAGAAGCUUGCCUCCUUUCUGGAUUGUUUUGGCCAGGGUGACUUCACUUAUUCACAUUAUUUCAAACCUGAGAACUACCCAGUUGGGGUAUAGAAGGAGAAAUAGAAAAACUAGCUACAGAACUCAGAAUUUUGGAGUUGGAUUCUCAUUUCUACUGCAAAACCUUGAUCACAGCAAGACUUUUGUAUGCACAAAGAAUGGAAGGACACUUCAAUUCCUCCCAUGGACGGAUGGUUGCAGAAGUUGAUGGAGUUGGCUGAAAUGGCAAAAUUGACUAUUUUGAUUAAAGAAAAGAAUAUAAGUACUUUUGUUUCCACAUGGACGCCGCUUCUGCACUUCGUGCUUGAAGUGGAAAAGAAUGAAACUUUGAUUUUGGGUUACACCGAUUAGACUGAACAAUCAUUAUAGGAAUGGCUUGUUUAUAUUAUUAUGAAAAAUAAAAAGUUGUGAUUUGAUGUUAAUGCUUUAUUUUACUGCAACAGAGGGAGUCGGUAGUCAGUUUUUCUUUUUUCCCCUACCCUGCCUCACUUCUCCUCCCCCUCUUCCCUCCCCACUGUAUUCCUAGUUACUUUUGUAUUUUGUAUUUUGUAUCUUAUUUUAUCUUAUAACUCAAUAAAAAUGUUAAACUGAAAGCCGAAAACCAGCUGGCCAGCAGGAGGCAUGCGCACAUGCACAGCAGAGCUGAGCUGAGCUGGGGUGACAGCUCGUGUGGCUGCAGGGAGGGCUCUGCGUGCAACCUGGAGCAUGCAUGCCAUAGGUUCGCCAUUACGGCCCUAUAUCAUUUCAGACAAUGGUUAUCCAGUCUCUUCUUGAAAGCCUUCAGUGAUGGAACGGUCUCUUUAGAUUGGCAUCAACAAAGGUGGCAUUCUUGUCCUUGUUUACUCUGAAGCACCUGCUGGUUCCUAGUAAACUAUAAUAAAUACAUUGAAUGUAUUCUGAAACACUUGGAACUGUUUAUCAAAUAUACAGUAUUUCUUUUUAGUAAAGGUAAUUGUAUUUAAGUAUACAGAACUGCAUUAUGCAUUCCAGCCACAAUUUGUUUCAAUAAUUUAUAUAACAUCUCCUUUCCUAGUUACUAUAAUUGAACUAAUCUGUCAAAACUUUUUAAAAAGGAAUGUAUUAUUCCUGUUUUCUUUUAAAGUAACUAAGUAAAUAAAUUUUACUGCUACAGUAAAAAAAUUAAAUAUU